rnacentral:tRNA from 1 species
AUAAGAAAUAUUAUAACUUAAUAUAUAUUAUUUACAUUAAUAAAAUACUUUUCGUUUUCUUAUU